GAUGAAGAACGUAGUGAAAUGCGAUAAGUAAUGCGAAUUGCAGAAUUCCGUGAGUCAUCGAAUCUUUGAACGCACAUUGCGCCCUCUGGUAUUCCGGAGGGCAUGCCUGUUCGAGCGUCAUUAUCUAGCCUCAAGCCCGGCUUGUCGUUGGGUCGCUUACCGCUCCACGGCGGUGGACCCGAAAGGUAAUGGCGGACCCGAGGGGACCGGAAUGCAGCGAGCUCCUCAGCACGCGUCUGCGCCGUCUCGGGACCCGUUCUCAACCACAAAAUUUCUCGCAGUUGACCUCGGAUCAGGUAGGGAUACCCGCUGAACUUAAGCAUAUCAAUAAGCGGAGGA
rnacentral:misc_RNA from 1 species